rnacentral:rRNA from 1 species
GACGAACGCUGGCGGCGUGCCUAAUACAUGCAAGUAGAACGCUGAAGAGAGGAGCUUGCUCUUCUUGGAUGAGUUGCGAACGGGUGAGUAACGCGUAGGUAACCUGCCUUGUAGCGGGGGAUAACUAUUGGAAACGAUAGCUAAUACCGCAUAACAAUGGAUGACACAUGUCAUUUAUUUGAAAGGGGCAAUUGCUCCACUACAAGAUGGACCUGCGUUGUAUUAGCUAGUAGGUGAGGUAAUGGCUCACCUAGGCGACGAUACAUAGCCGACCUGAGAGGGUGAUCGGCCACACUGGGACUGAGACACGGCCCAGACUCCUACGGGAGGCAGCAGUAGGGAAUCUUCGGCAAUGGGGGCAACCCUGACCGAGCAACGCCGCGUGAGUAAAGAAGGUUUUCGGAUCGUAAAGCUCUGUUGUAAGUCAAGAACGGGUGUGAGAGUGGAAAGUUCACACUGUGACGGUAGCUUACCAGAAAGGGACGGCUAACUACGUG